AUUGAACGCUGGCGGCAGGCCUAACACAUGCAAGUCGAACGGUAACAGGAAGCAGCUUGCUGCUUUGCUGACGAGUGGCGGACGGGUGAGUAAUGUCUGGGAAACUGCCUGAUGGAGGGGGAUAACUACUGGAAACGGUAGCUAAUACCGCAUAACGUCGCAAGACCAAAGAGGGGGACCUUCGGGCCUCUUGCCAUCGGAUGUGCCCAGAUAGGAUUAGCUAGUAGGUGGGGUAACGGCUCACCUAGGCGACGAUCCCUAGCUGGUCUGAGAGGAUGACCAGCCACACUGGAACUGAGACACGGUCCAGACUCCUACGGGAGGCAGCAGUGGGGAAUAUUGCACAAUGGGCGCAAGCCUGAUGCAGCCAUGCCGCGUGUAUGAAGAAGGCCUUCGGGUUGUAAAGUACUUUCAGCGGGGAGGAAGGGAGUAAAGUUAAUACCUUUGCUCAUUGACGUUACCCGCAGAAGAAGCACCGGCUAACUCCGUG
rnacentral:rRNA from 1 species